GACCAGCUUAGUUCGAAAGUUGCUAAAAUUUCCCAUUAUUGAAGUUUUUUAUUGUUCGUAAAGUAUUUUUUAACAGAAAUACACCACCCAGUAGUGUUAAAUAGUUAGUGAUUAUUUUUUUUUAGUAAAAAGUGUUAAAAUCCAGUGCGCGUCAAUUUUGUCAACAAGUGCUUCACUUUUCACCGGUCUGUGUCGUUUCCAACCUCUCUUUUCAUCUCUAAAUGGUUAUUUUUUACUAGUGAUGAAAUAAUGGAGAGAUAAUUUUUGCUGUGAUAAUGAACAUAAAUCACGAUCAAGGAAGGCGCACUCGCAAAAAAUAGUGGAAUUUGAUGCUCGCAAGACUGCUAAC